UGCGCAGGCUGUUUUGUAAGUCAGAUGUGAAAUCCCCGAGCUCAACUUGGGAACUGCGUUUGAAACUACAAGACUAGAAUAUGUCAGAGGGGGGUAGAAUUCCACGUGUAGCAGUGAAAUGCGUAGAGAUGUGGAGGAAUACCGAUGGCGAAGGCAGCCCCCUGGGUCGAUACUGACGCUCAUGCACGAAAGCGUGGGGAGCAAACAGGAUUAGAUGCCCCGGUA
rnacentral:rRNA from 1 species